UGGGGAAUAUUGGGCAAUGGGCGCAAGCCUGACCCAGCAACGCCGCGUGAGGGAAGAAGGUUGUCGGAUUGUAAACCUCUGUCCUCAAUGAAAAGAGUAAGAUGGUAAUUGAGGAGGAAGCCCCGGCUAACUACGUGCCAGCAGGCGCGGUAAUACGUAGGGGGCGAGCGUUGUCCGGAAUGAUUGGGCGUAAAGGGCGCGUAGGCGGCCUGUUAAGUCUGGAGUGAAAGUCCUGCUUUCAAGGUGGGAAUUGCUUUGGAUACUGAUAGGCUUGAGUGCAGGAGAGGUUAUCGGAAUUCCCGGUGUAGCGGUGAAAUGCGUAGAGAUCGGGAGGAACACCAGUGGCGAAGGCGGGUAACUGGACUGCAACUGACGCUGAGGCGCGAAAGUGUGGGGAGCAAACAGG
rnacentral:rRNA from 1 species